rnacentral:rRNA from 1 species
UACGUAGGGGGCUAGCGUUGUCCGGAAUCAUUGGGCGUAAAGCGCGUGUAGGCGGUCCGGUAAGUCCGCUGUGAAAGUCGGGGGCUCAACCCUCGGAUGCCGGUGGAUACUGUCGGGCUUGAGUACGGAAGAGGCGAGUGGAAUUCCUGGUGUAGCGGUGAAAUGCAUAGAUACCGUCCAGAACCCCGAUUGCGAAGGCAGCUGGCUAAGCCGUUACUGACGCUGAGGCACGAAAGCGUGGGGAGCAAACAGG